rnacentral:rRNA from 1 species
AUCUAUAGCCAUACCACCCUGAAAGUGCCCUAUCUUGUCUGAUCUUGGAAGUUAAACAGGGUCAGGCCUGGUUAGUACUUGGAUGGGAGAAAACAAUUCUAGUCUCCACUACAUAUA